CUUACCGUAAAAACACAGUUACAUGCACAGCUUUAUGUAGCGGUGGGGGUUAUACUAGAAAUAUCGAUGUACGCUGGCUAUAGGACUAUCAAGGCGUGUAUUAUAGUCGGAUACUGUUACUAAUGGCUUUAUGUUCUACCACAAUGAUCCGUGUAUAGCCAGGUAUAUGUAUGCGCUUGCUUUUGUGACUAUACGGUACUCUCCUGCCCGCUGUCGUCUCCAGAUCUGGAAGUGCUGGUUUUGAGCAGCUGGAGGAGGGGAGCAGGGUAAUCUAUACACAGAUCUAUAACAGUGAUGUUCGUGUCAUUGUUUGUGUAACACUUAGUGCAAUAACAAUAUUACCAAAUACACGUUUUGUUAAACAGUAGGAGAGCGGCAGAGACGGUGCAAAGAGACAUGGUCAAAAACUUUCUUUGAGCUGCCAAACCCCAAGACAGAGCUGAAGAGAGACGCUUUUAGAAACGGCUGGCACCCUAACGUCCUGAGGGGGUCUGUGAUGGCCGCAGUUUGGCAGCAAGUGUUGGCAGUGGAUGCGAGGUAAGAG